AACGAACGUUAGCGGCGCGCCUAACACAUGCAAGUCGCACGAGAAAGGGCUUCGGCCCCGGUACAGUGGCGCACGGGUGAGUAACACGUGGGUAAUCUUCCCUUGGGUUGGGGAUAACCUUCCGAAGGGAGGGCUAAUACCGAAUAAGACCACGCCUCCGAAAGGAGGAGAGGUCAAAGCUGGCCACUCUAUAGAAGCUAGCGCCUAGGGAUGAGCCCGCGGCCCAUCAGGUAGUUGGUAGGGUAAUGGCCUACCAAGCCAAAGACGGGUAGCUGGUCUGAGAGGAUGAUCAGCCACACUGGAACUGAGACACGGUCCAGACUCCUACGGGAGGCAGCAGUGGGGAAUCUUGCGCAAUGGGCGAAAGCCUGACGCAGCGACGCCGCGUGAGUGAUGAAGGCCUUCGGGUUGUAAAGCUCUGUGGGGCGGGACGAAUUAGUAGAGGUCAAUACCCUCUAUGAUGACGGUACCGUCUUAGCAAGCACCGGCUAACUCUGUGCCAGCAGCCGCAGUAA
rnacentral:rRNA from 1 species